AAAUUGAAGAGUUUGAUCAUGGCUCAGAUUGAACGCUGGCGGCAGGCCUAACACAUGCAAGUCGAACGGUAGCACAGAGGAGCUUGCUCCUUGGGUGAC
rnacentral:rRNA from 1 species